AGAGUUUGAUCAUGGCUCAGAGCGAACGUUAGCGGCGGGCCUAACACAUGCAAGUCGAACGAGAAUGUAGGCUUCGGUCUACUAGUAAAGUGGCGGACGGGUGCGUAACACGUGGGUAAUCUACCUUCCGGCGGGGGACAACAGUCCGAAAGGAUUGCUAAUACCGCAUACGUCAGCGGCGCCUACGGGCGCUGUUGGGAAAGAUGGCCUCUCCUUGGAAGCUAUCUCCGGAAGAUGAGCCCGCGUCCCAUCAGCUAGUUGGUGAGGUAAUGGCUCACCAAGGCUUAGACGGGUAGCUGGUCUGAGAGGAUGAUCAGCCACACUGGGACUGCGACACGGCCCAGACUCCUACGGGAGGCAGCAGUGGGGAAUAUUGGGCAAUGGGCGCAAGCCUGACCCAGCCACGCCGCGUGAGUGAUGAAGGCCUUCGGGUCGUAAAGCUCUGUGGGGAGGGACGAACAAGCCUGGGGCUAAUCACCCGGGCCCUGACGGUACCUCCUUAGCAAGCACCGGCUAACCCUGUGCCAGCAGCCGCGGUA
rnacentral:rRNA from 1 species